rnacentral:rRNA from 1 species
AUUGAACGCUGGCGGCAGGCCUAACACAUGCAAGUCGAACGAGUGGCGGACGGGUGAGUAAUGUCUGGGAAACUGCCUGAUGGAGGGGGAUAACUACUGGAAACGGUAGCUAAUACCGCAUACCAUCGGAUGUGCCCAGAUGGGAUUAGCUAGUAGGUGGGGUAAAGGCUCACCUAGGCGACGAUCCCUAGCUGGUCUGAGAGGAUGACCAGCCACAUUGGAACUGAGACCCGGUCCAGACUCCUACGGGAGGCAGCAGUGGGGAAGAUUGCAAGAUGGGCGCGAGCCUGAUGCAGCGAUGCCGCGUGUAUGAAGAAGGCUUGCGGGUUGUAAAGUACUUUCAGCAGGGAGGCGUUACCCGCAGAGGAAGCACCGGCUGACUCCGUGUCAGCAGCCGCGGUAAUAC